rnacentral:rRNA from 1 species
ACGGCAGCACGGAGCUUGCUCUGGUGGCGAGUGGCGAACGGGUGAGUAAUAUAUCGGAACGUACCCUGGAGUGGGGGAUAACGUAGCGAAAGUUACGCUAAUACCGCAUACGAUCUACGGAUGAAAGUGGGGGAUCGCAAGACCUCAUGCUCGUGGAGCGGCCGAUAUCUGAUUAGCUAGUUGGUAGGGUAAAAGCCUACCAAGGCAUCGAUCAGUAGCUGGUCUGAGAGGACGACCAGCCACACUGGAACUGAGACACGGUCCAGACUCCUACGGGAGGCAGCAGUGGGGAAUUUUGGACAAUGGGCGAAAGCCUGAUCCAGCAAUGCCGCGUGAGUGAAGAAGGCCUUCGGGUUGUAAAGCUCUUUUGUCAGGGAAGAAACGGUGAGAGCUAAUAUCUUUUGCUAAUGACGGUACCUGAAGAAUAAGCACCGGCUAACUACGUGCCAGCAGCCGCGGUAAUACGUAGGGUGCAAGCGUUAAUCGGAAUUACUGGGCGUAAAGCGUGCGCAGGCGGUUUUGUAAGUCUGAUGUGAAAUCCCCGGGCUCAACCUGGGAAUUGCAUUGGAGACUGCAAGGCUAGAAUCUGGCAGAGGGAGGUAGAAUUCCACGUGUAGCA